rnacentral:lncRNA from 1 species
GACAAGGUCAAGUGGCCCAUCGACGACCAGCGGUUCGGGAACCCCCCACCUCUGUAUUUCAACGCCGGCAUGUUCGUUUACGAGCCCAGCAAGCUCACCUAUGACUCCCUCCUCGAAACCCUCCAGAUAACCCCACCAACACCCUUCGCCGAACAGGUAUCCCAUCUCACACACACUCACUCUCACUUCCCGAUCGAAUAAACAUUCUUUUAAACACCGAUUAGAAUCCCUCAUGAUCAUUUCCAGUUAAAUGAAAAGUUCAUAGCACCAACGUUUUAUAUAAUAAUGGUAGUGAUUGUAAUUGUUGUUGUUUACAAUAAC